rnacentral:rRNA from 1 species
GAGCACGUAGGUGGGUUUGUAAGUCAGGUGUGAAAGCCUUCUGUUCAAAGGAAGAACGGCAUCUGAAACUGCAGAUCUUGAGUGUAGGAGGGGAGAGUGGAACUUCUGGUGGAGCGGUGAAAUGCGUAGAUAUCAGAAGGAACGUCGGCGGCGAAAGCGACUCUCUGGCCUAUUACUGACACUGAGUGUGCGAAAGCUAGGGGAGCAAACGGGAUUAGAUACCCCGGUAGUCCUAACCGUAAACGAUGGGCACUAAGUAGAGGGGUUUU